rnacentral:sRNA from 1 species
CCAUGGUAUGGACCGUUGGACGUGGUUAUACUAGAUCUAAGUAACUAGUAAAGUUACUAGUAAUUAAAAUGUUCAGUCAAAAAGUUUUUAUUCAGUUUCACUAUUGUCCUUUAUGUCGAUUGAAUCACAAAAAAGGUACUAAACAUGUUUAUGCUAAGAGACAUCAAGAGAUUGUGUCAAACAUACUUGCCAAGUUUUUAAAAAAGAUUGUGAUUGCCAAAAGCAGCAUGAAGAAUCCACCGAUUCUUGAAAGUAUGUCUGAAAUCGUGAACAUGACAUUCUGAUGUUAUUUUUGUCAAAGUGAAAUAACAAAACAUAAAGAACAUUUCACAGCUAUGGGCCAUUGCAUGAUUGAACUAGGAGGCAUGCUAGAACAUUUCACUCGUCAAGACCAUGUUGACAAUACUGUUUAAUUUCUCAGAGAAAACAAAAAAGACCUGGUACUUACAUCAGAUUACAUUGUGUCUACUGAAGCCUAUCUGAAGUAUCUAGAAGUGGUGGAUGUCAGUUGUUCUCAGUUUUUAAAAAACAAAAGUGACUCUCUGAAGUUGGUAAGUUUUGUAAACUUAUUUUUAACAUAGUAGGUUUAGAUUGUCACAUUUACUUUCACUGAGGUCAAGAAUCUUUAUUGUUGUAACUGGAAUUGUGUAAAUGCUGAAUAUGAUAUUGUCACAGUUGUUAUUUUUGAUAUCAUAAAUGUCACUGGGGUUAUAUUUUGAGACUGUAUUAUUACUGUUGGUUUAUCUAUGUAGGCGUGGUGCUGACAUUGGGUUCAUAUUAUAAUUCACAGAAUAAGGAAAUGACACUCGAUGUAGCAGACACAAAUAAGUUUAAUAUAAGUAAUAUCACCACAUAGUGAAUAUGAUACACAAUUCAAUCCAGUAAUGACCAGUAUUAAUCCUCUUUAGAAAUUUGGCGAAUAAAUAAUAACUUUGUAACUAAUCUAUAACCAACUUCUUUAAGUAACUAACUCAACUGCUUAUAUCAAGUGACUCUCUCAAGUGCUUGCUACCAACUCCCUAUAUUGACUGACUGCUCUUAACUCUGGUUCACUUAAGGGGGUCAACGGGUCAAAAA